rnacentral:rRNA from 1 species
GAUGAACGCUGGCGGCGUGCCUAAUACAUGCAAGUCGAGCGAACAGAUAAGGAGCUUGCUCCUUUGACGUUAGCGGCGGACGGGUGAGUAACACGUGGGUAACCUACCUAUAAGACUGGGAUAACUUCGGGAAACCGGAGCUAAUACCGGAUAACAUUUGGAACCGCAUGGUUCUAAAGUGAAAGAUGGUUUUGCUAUCACUUAUAGAUGGACCCGCGCCGUAUUAGCUAGUUGGUAAGGUAACGGCUUACCAAGGCGACGAUACGUAGCCGACCUGAGAGGGUGAUCGGCCACACUGGAGCUGAGCCACGGUCCAGACUCCUACGGGAGGCAGCAGUAGGGAAUCUUCCGCAAUGGGCGAAAGCCUGACGGAGCAACGCCGCGUGAGUGAUGAAGGGUUUCGGCUCGUAAAACUCUGUUAUUAGGGAAGAACAAAUGUGUACGUAACUGUGCACGUCUUGACGGUACCUAAUCAGAAAGCCACGGCUAACUACGUG